UGGGGGAUAUUGCACAAUGGGCGAAAGCCUGAUGCAGCGACGCCGCGUGGGGGAUGAAGGCCUUCGGGUUGUAAACUUCUUUUGCUCUGAACAAGGCGCACCAUGGGGUGUGUUGAGUGUAGGGGUUGAUUAGCGCCGGCUAACUACGUGCCAGCAGCCGCGGUAAUACGUAGGGCGCGAGCGUUGUCCGGAAUUAUUGGGCGUAAAGGGCUUGUAGGUGGCUGGUUGCGUCUGUCGUGAAAGCUCAUGGCUUAACUGUGGGUUUGCGGUGGGUACGGGCUGGCUUGAGUGGAGUAGGGGAGGCUGGAAUUCCUGGUGUAGCGGUGGAAUGCGCAGAUAUCAGGAGGAAUACCGGUGGCGAAGGCGGGUCUCUGGGCUGCUACUGACACUGAGGAGCGAAAGCAUGGGGAGCGAACAGG
rnacentral:rRNA from 1 species